GAUGAACGCUGGCGGCGUGCUUAACACAUGCAAGUCGAACGUGAGGGGGUAGCAAUAUCCCUGAAAGUGGCGCACGGGUGAGUAAUACGUAGGUAACCUGCCCUGGAGUGGGGGAUAACAGCUGGAAACGGCUGCUAAUACCGCAUGAGGCCGAGACACUGGGAAGUGUUUUGGCGAAAACUCUGGUGCUUCAGGAGGGGCCUGCGGCCGAUUAGCUAGUUGGCGGGGUAAGAGCCCACCAAGGCAGUGAUCGGUAGCUGGUCUGAGAGGACGAUCAGCCACACGGGAACUGAGACACGGUCCCGACUCCUACGGGGGGGCAGCAGUGAGGAAUAUUGGGCAAUGGGCGGAAGCCUGACCCAGCAACGCCGCGUGGAGGAAGACGGCCUUCGGGUUGUAAACUCCUUUACGGGGAAGAGGAAGGACGGUACCCCGAGAAUAAGUCACGGCUAACUACGUGCCAGCAGCCGCGGUAAU
rnacentral:rRNA from 1 species